GAAAAAAUCAAAAUUCAAAAACCUCAUAUCUGCUUCUCAACUUUUGAAUUCCCCAAAUGUAUCUGAAAACGUUUGUUGCCUCUCUCUGUCUCACAUUUUGAAAACCCUAGACUACUGCAUCAGUACAAGAUCGACGACCUAUGGGUGGUUUUUACUCAUCUUCUUCUUCUACUCUCUCUUUCUUUCCUACAAAUUCAUACUCUCAAAGAAACACUAUGUAGAUUUAGGAUUAGAUCUGUCAGACUCGUGGAGCUUUGGGGGACGAAAGAUAGUGACGGUGGUGAUGAUUUGGUUACAGCCUUCUAUACGGUGGUGGUCCUUAAGAGCCACGUAAACACCGUCAACGGUUCCAAGGUUAAAACAAUGAGGAAGACCAUGACAGAAAACCCUAGCCAUCGCCUCCCGCGAUGGCGGCUAGGUUCCGACGAAGCUUCAUGGUUCUGCCACCCGAGCGCCAGUAGAGGAGACUAAGGUUCCGGCGAAUGUAAAGCCAUCGGUGACUGAACCACCAGUGCUGGCGGUUGCAUUAGUGGAGCAGGACAAUGUGAAUACUUCAAGGGUUGUGCAGGACGAACAAGACAUGGGUUGAUUAGUGAUGAUGAUAUGUACGGCCAGGUACUCAAAGUUUAGCCCUUUUUGAGUAUGAGUUGGGUUUGCAAUUGAGCAUGGGCUGAUUAGUAAUUUUUUUUCCAUCAGAAUUGUUUGAUUAAAUAUUUGUUAUAAAUCUUAAUUAUAGGGUAAUACAUCCCUAAAGUCAGUGUAUUAUGAUAAACAUUCUAUUUUGCAAGAACUUUAUAGCUGCGUAAUGUGGUGAUUGAAGAAAGUUACUGAUCACCAAAAGUAACAAAAGAUAGUUUAACUGUUGUAAAACGCAUCAAAUUUUAUUGAAUACAGUCAAGAAUGUUGGUUCAAGUCUGGUGAAACAAGAUGCUAAUGCUAAAAACAAUGUUGCUGGUGUUGGCACUACUUGGGCAACAUUCCUUACACGAGAAAUAUUCUUAGAAGUGUGCAAAUCGGCUGCAACUGGUAUGAAUGCAAUGGGUCAGAAUGGUUUUGGGUGUAUGAUAAUAGAUUUGGGUAUAUGUAUAUCUAACAAAAUAAACGGGGUAGCGGGUCAGAAUGGUUUUGUGUCACGAGUCAUUUAAAACGGUCAUUUGGGUUUGGGUCAGAAUGGUUUUGUAUAACUGGGUAUAGAUCAAAACAGGUUGUUUUAAAAAAAAGGAGAAUAUUGUAAGCAAACAUUACCAAAACCCAAAAGAUGACCAUGAAAACAAAUAUUUAACUUGCAAAAUAUGCAAAGAUACAAUUUAAUGAUAUUAAUACAACUUUUUGGCGUAUUUUGUGUUCUUGUUGCAUAUAACAAAAAGGUAUACAUGAAGAUAACCAAUACAUGUAUUUUUUCGGUUUUCCGUCCAUGUAACUGAAUAUAUGUAUUUGUCGUAUUUACGUUUUUAAGUUGAACCACUACGGUGGGCAGGUCCUACUAAGAAUAUGGAUUUGGAGCCUGGUACGCUUCGGUACAGGUACGCUACUGUAAAUUGAGCCGGUUCAGGGAAUUCGAUGCCGAAUUAUGGUGUUACCCAAAACCUGAACCCCGACUCGAUUAAAAUCAAUCCAAACCCGAUUAUGGUGUUACCCGAUAAACCCCGAACCUGAACAGGUGGGGUUGUCUUCAAGAUUGUAUCUGAAAUUUAGAAUUCAAUAUGAGGGUAUGUUGUGCAAGUAGGGUGUUUGAUGUGCAUUUUGAAAGUGAUUAGUGAUUACUUAAUAACUGGCAUCAAUACAACGAUUUGAACCUAAAUUGCAGUAAAAUUAACUCAGUUUUGAUUUUGAGUGGUCUUGCAACAGUGGGCAUAAUCAGAUCAGAGCACUUCUGACUCGAUGUGGCACAUAUCUAGCAAGCGCCGCAAAAUGCGUUGGUGAUUGUGGAGAUGAUGUUUUUUUUUUCUUUUGCAUUCUUUUAGUUAUAUGCAUACUAAGCUGCACCACACAAGGAUCUUGGUGUGAAGGAAAAGAAGAAAGAGUGAUUGAAAAUAUUCAUAUCAAGACCAUUAUCUUAUUUAUGUAGAAGAUUAAAAACAUAUCUAUAAAUUUUGAGUGAGGAGUACUUUAUGAGUUUAUUGCAUUAUCAUCCACAAUUGUGAUGCAAUUCAUGAAAUAAAAUAAUAUCAGCUAAUACAGCCAAAAUGUUACGUAUUGAAUUUAACACGUAUCAUCGAAUUGAACCAUGUUAUCGUCACCAUCUAUGUCCAUUAUCAUUCACCAAAUCAGCUUGAUUUUGACAAGAUUGCCACCAUCCAUGUUAAGGGUUAUCACUGGUGUGGGGAAUCACGGAUGGGGUUUUAAAGGUGAUAUGAUUUUAGACAUAAAGAUACCCACAACCAAGUUCAAAAAUCACCACUUCCAUUGUUGGCAAUAGGUUUGUUAUUGUUCGCAUGCAAUCGGUAUUUCUCAUAUGUUUAAACAACGAUAUUAUUCAUCAUAAUUAUCUAAUUUACUUUCUUAUAGUAUAAAUUUUCAAUCUAAAACCUUUUAGAAAUCUAGAACCUU
rnacentral:lncRNA from 1 species